UGACAGAAGAGAGUGAGCVC
rnacentral:miRNA from 1 species